CAGCAGCCGCGGGAAUACGGAGGGGGCUAGCGUUGUUCGGAAUUACUGGGCGUAAAGCGCACGUAGGCGGCUUGGUAAGUUAGAGGUGAAAGCCCAGGGCUCAACCCUGGAAUUGCCUUUAAGACUGCCGAGCUAGUAGGUGAGAGAGGUAAGUGGAAUUCCGAGUGUAGAGGUGAAAUUCGUAGAUAUUCGGAAGAACACCAGUGGCGAAGGCGGCUUACUGGCUCAUUCUAGACGCUGAGGUGCGAAAGCGUGGGGAGCAAACAGGAUUAGAUACCCCUGUAGUCCCUGUCUCUUAUAC
rnacentral:rRNA from 1 species